UACGGAGGGUGCAAGCGUUGUCCGGAUUUAUUGGGUUUAAAGUGUGCGUAGGUGGCCCUAUAAGUCCGUGGUGAAAGCCUGCUGCUCAACAGCAGAACUGCCAUGGAUACUGUAGGCUUGAGUCCAGACGAGGUUGGCGGAAUGGAAGAUGUAGCGGUGAAAUGCAUAGAUAUCUUCCAGAACCCCGAUUGCGUAGGCAGCUGACUAGGCUGGUACUGACACUGAGGCACGAAAGCGUGGGGAGCGAACGAAGGAUUGACGAUACCCGGU
rnacentral:rRNA from 1 species